CCCCGGGACUACGUGCUAUGCUCGCUGUUCACCUUCGCCUUCCUGGACUGCUGCUGCCUCGGCUUCCUCGCCCUCGUCUACUCUUUUAAGACUAGUGCUGGAAACAUAGCAAAUACGUUGUGCAUCCUGGAUAUUCUGCCAAGAAACAAGAUUAUCCUCAUCAGCUGCAUUUCCUGUGUCUCUGAUAGUACCUGAUCUGCUUCUUCACUUGCAAAGGAGGAAACAUUCCACAAUGAGCUAUAACAGCUUGCACUUUUGCAAAUACACAGCUUGAGGCUCUUCCUUUAAGCCCUGUACCCACUGCUUGCCUAUCAAGGCUGACAAAAGUUUGGAAUAUCAUCUCAAAUGACUCAAAUUGGAUCAAGAUAUUGAUGCAAAAAGAAGAUAUUGUGUGUGUGACAGGGAGAAAGAUUUUCUGGUUUUGUGCCUUCUCUACUGCCAAAGCUUCAUGGAAGUUUUCACUAAAUAUGUAUUUGGGAGCUUUCCUGAUUUGAAAUGUGAGUCUCAAGUGAAUUUGGAGCAAAUAAAGAUUUAACCUUUGAAU